UACGGAGGGGGCGAGCGUUAUUCGGAAUUAUUGGGCGUAAAGGGCGCGUAGGCGGCCUUGUAAGUCAAAGGUGAAAUCCCUCGGCUCAACUGAGGAACUGCCUUUGAAACUGCAAGGCUUGAGGCCGGGAGGGGGUAGCGGAAUUCCCAAUGUAGCGGUGAAAUGCGCAGAUAUCAGGAAGAACACCCGUGGCGAAGGCGGUUCUCUGGGACGGUACUGACGCUGAGACGCGAAAGCGUGGGGAGCGAACGGG
rnacentral:rRNA from 1 species